rnacentral:rRNA from 1 species
CUGUUUACCAAAAACAUAGCCCUUAGAAUGAAAUUAAAGGUGCAACCUGCCCUAUGGUUCUAAUACCUUUUAUAAAUAGAAGUGAAACUAGAACUAAAUGGCCGCGGUAACUCUGACCGUGAUAAUGUAGCGAAAUCAAUUGUCGUUUAAUUGACGACCAGUAUGAAUGGUUAAACGAAUUUUCCACUGUCUCCAUGAUAAACUUAAUGAAUUUAAAAUAAUAGUGAAGAUGCUAUUUAAUAAUUGUAAGACGAGAAGACCCUAUAGAGCUUAACUAUAACCUUUAACUAAAUGACGAUAAUUUAUCUGUCAAUAUUAAAGGUUGGUAGUUUGGUUGGGGCGACCAUCUUCUAAAUGUAACGAAGAUAAACAAUGAUAGAUAAAAAUUAUUAAUUUGACUGUAUAAUAAAUAUAUUUAACAGGUAUUAAAAUAGGUAAAUUGACCCGUUUAUUUUGAAUAAGAAAAAUAACGAUUAAUAAAUAAAAGCUACCUUAGGGAUAACAGCGUAAUCUUAUUUAAGAGUUCUUAUCGACAAUAAGGUUUGCGACCUCGAUGUUGAAUUGCGAUAACCUGAGGGUGCAGCAGCUCUCAAAGGUUGGUCUGUUCGACCAUUAAAAUCUUACAUGAUUUGAGUUCAUUC